UUUAAGUGCAGCAAUUCACUGGCUUAGUUACAAGACCAAGAAAGAGUUGGAGAACUCGAGAAGUUUGAAGACGUGCUCUCUAUCUAUGCUUUGCUUUGUAGAUGAUGUUAAUCCAUUAUAUAAAUGUUAACCUGGCUCUUUCCUUCUGCUUAAAAUCCAGGUGCAUGGGGCAUGGCUUCCACGUUGGCUUGAAGUUCAUAUGACUCACUACAAGUCUCUUCUGGAGAAGCAUUGGGAGGAGCACGGAAAACCUGCUAUGAACACGAUGAUACAGAAGGCAGUUGAGAAGAAGGCUCAAGCUGAGGUAUGGGCUGCGCCACAUAUAGAAACAGU